rnacentral:piRNA from 1 species
GCACCACAGUGUACAAUGCCUAUUAAGCUC